rnacentral:rRNA from 1 species
ACGAAACCGGAGGAAGGUGGGGAUGACGUCAAAUCAGCACGGCCCUUACGGUCCAGGGCUACACACGUGCUACAAUGGCCGAUACGAGAGGGCAGCUACCUGGUGACCAGGAUGCCAAAUCUCCAAAGUCGGUCUCAGUUCGGAUCGGAGUCUGCAACCCGACUCCGUGAAGUUGGAUUCGCUAGUAAUCGCGCAUCAGCCAUGGCGCGGUGAAUACGUUCCCGGGCCUU